UCUGAAGAGAUUCGGAAGUGCUCGCAAGAGAACCGGAACACAGGUGCUGCAUGGCUGUCGUCAGCUCGUGUCGUGAGAUGUUGGGUUAAGUCCCGCAACGAGCGCAACCCUUGUCAUUAGUUGCUACGAAAGGGCACUCUAAUGAGACUGCCGGUGACAAACCGGAGGAAGGUGGGGAUGACGUCAAGUCCUCAUGGCCCUUAUGGGUAGGGCUUCACACGUCAUACAAUGGUCGGGACAGAGGGUCGCCAACCCGCGAGGGGGAGCCAAUCCCAGAAACCCGAUCGUAGUCCGGAUCGCAGUCUGCAACUCGACUGCGUGAAGUCGGAAUCGCUAGUAAUCGCGGAUCAGCAUGUCGCGGUGAAUACGUUCCCGGGUCU
rnacentral:rRNA from 1 species